rnacentral:rRNA from 1 species
UACGGGGGGAGCAAGCGUUGUUCGGAUUUACUGGGCGUAAAGGGCGCGUAGGCGGCCUCCGCAAGUCAGUUGUGAAAUCUCCGAGCUUAACUCGGAAAGGUCAACUGAUACUGCGGGGCUAGAGUGCGGAAGGGGCAACUGGAAUUCUUGGUGUAGCGGUGAAAUGCGUAGAUAUCUGGAGGAACCCCGGUGGCGAAGGCGGCAUCCUGGACCAACACUGACGCUGAGGAGCGAAAGCCAGGGGAGCAAACGGG